GGGGGGGGGGGGGGGGGGGGGGGGGGGGGGGGGGGGGGGGGGGGGGGGGGGGGGGGGGGGGGGGGGGGGGGGGGGGGGGGGGGGGGGGGGGGGGGACGGGCGCCGCGGGGCGGUGCGGCACCGCGCCGAGCAGUGCGGAGCGCGGUGCGGAGCGCGGUGCGGAGCGGAGCUGUCCGGAGAGACGCGCGGUGCUCAGCUGAGCGCGGUACGGAGCGGAGCGCGGUGCGGCACCGUGCGGAGCGGAGCGGUGCAGAGAGACGCAGAACGGUGCGGACCGGAGCGCGGUGCGGAGCUCUGCUGUCCGGAGCGGAGCGGAGAGGCGCAGAACGGUGCGGACCGGAGCGCGGUGCGGAGCUCUGCUGUCCGGAGCGGAGAGGCGCAGAACGGUGCGGACCGGAGCGCGCUGCGGACCUGCGCUCCCCGCUGCCUCAGCCGAGCCGCUGCCGCCGGCACCCCGGCCCCGUUAUAUAGCGGCGGAGCCCCGCGGGAGCAUGCUCAGACGGCAGCGCACCCGGGCCGCAGCGGAGCCCACUCGCGGCCGGCCGGGCUCUCCUUCCCGCAUGACGUGUCCCCGCUCCGCCGCCCCCGCCCGCCGCGGCCCCGCGGAGCGGGGGGGCAGGUACAGCCCGGGGCGGGGGAGCCAGGGCGCUCCAUCCCCUCGCCCCCUCUCCCCUCAACCUCCAGGGCAUCCCUCUCCUGCCCCGCGGUACCCAGUGGAGCUCCAGGCGGGUCCCGGACUGCCACAGCAGAACUUCAGCUUUCUGCGUCUCACCGCGCUGCUUUUUAAAUGAAUACCCUGAUUUCUAUGGCUGUGAAAGAGUACCGACAGACCCGUCACAUCAGCUUCCAGCUGAUCGCCCCUCGUCAGAGUAACAAACCCAUAGUUAAAGGAAACUGCAAGGCAAGCCCAAAUCUGAACACCCUAAUGUUACAGUGACCCAGAUCUAAACUGCAGAGAUCACACGGAAUGGACCCAGACAAGAACCAUCAGCAACAGAGGGUUAAGCAGGACUCUGGGAUCUUGUUCCCAAGUCUGCCACCUCUAACGAAGCUUAAAU
rnacentral:lncRNA from 12 species